rnacentral:rRNA from 1 species
AGCUUGCUCCCUGAUGUUAGCGGCGGACGGGUGAGUAACACGUGGGUAACCUGCCUGUAAGACUGGGAUAACUCCGGGAAACCGGGGCUAAUACCGGAUGGUUGUUUGAACCGCAUGGUUCAAACAUAAAAGGUGGCUUCGGCUACCACUUACAGAUGGACCCGCGGCGCAUUAGCUAGUUGGUGAGGUAACGGCUCACCAAGGCAACGAUGCGUACCCAACCUGAGAGGGUGAUCGGCCACACUGGGACUGAGACACGGCCCAGACUCCUACGGGAGGCAGCAGUAGGGAAUCUUCCGCAAUGGACGAAAGUCUGACGGAGCAACGCCGCGUGAGUGAUGAAGGUUUUCGGAUCGUAAAGCUCUGUUGUUAGGGAAGAACAAGUACCGUUCGAAUAGGGCGGUACCUUGACGGUACCUAACCAGAAAGCCACGGCUAACUACGUGCCAGCAGCCGCGGUAAUACGUAGGUGGCAAGCGUUGUCCGGAAUUAUUGGGCGUAAAGGGCUCGCAGGCGGUUUCUUAAGUCUGAUGUGAAAGCCCCCGGCUCAACCGGGGAGGGUCAUUGGAAACUGGGGAACUUGAGUGCAGAAGAGGAGAGUGGAAUUCCACGUGUAGCGGUGAAAUGCGUAGAGAUGUGGAGGAACACCAGUGGCGAAGGCGACUCUCUGGUCUGUAACUGAC